ACCAAGAUUUUGUGAACUUCAGCUUGACAAAAUUCUAACUGACAUUUGAUUGGCUAACAAGAAACACAAAUUAAUCUAAUUGGUGAAUCUAUAUUCACAAGGAUUGAUGAGUUGGUCACUAACUAACUAUGAGCACCAACUAUUAGAGUAUGCAACUGUGUGAGUCAUAACUCUACAUUUAGCUUUAGUGAAGGAUCGAGCCACUGUAGGAUGUUUCUUUUUUUUGAACGGUGAAAAAGAAUUUUAUUAAUCUUUGAAAGAUUACAAAGAUCAAAGGGAGUAAGGAGAAAAGCAACAUGUGCCCAUCCCAGACCCAAACCCUUAAUCGGCAGGAUGCCAAGCAAGAACCCCAAGAGGCCAAAAUGCCCAAAUAAAAUAAAACAAAGCAGAGCCCAACACCUAAAAGGCCUAAAAGCCCAAAUAAAGUGGGCUGUUUCUACUUUCUCAGCACACCAGGAGACAAGAUUAUGACCAAAAUAAACACCAAAGCCAAUUUGGGAGUUCGUUCACAAUGUUUGUAGAACCAAUUCAAGAGUUCCGACAGAGAUGAGAGAUGUAGAAGGAAGUGAAGAUUGUUGGAUCCCAUGCAUAAACAAUGGGGAAAAU